AGUGAACGCUGGCGGUAGGCCUAACACAUGCAAGUCGAACGGCAGCACAGUAAGAGCUUGCUCUUACGGGUGGCGAGUGGCGGACGGGUGAGGAAUACAUCGGAAUCUACUUUUUCGUGGGGGAUAACGUAGGGAAACUUACGCUAAUACCGCAUACGACCUACGGGUGAAAGCAGGGGAUCUUCGGACCUUGCGCGAUUGAAUGAGCCGAUGUCGGAUUAGCUAGUUGGCGGGGUAAAGGCCCACCAAGGAGACGAUCCGUAGCUGGUCUGAGAGGAUGGUCAGCAACACUGGAACUGAGACACGGUCCAGACUCCUACGGGAGGCAGCAGUGGGGAAUAUUGGACAAUGGGCGCAAGCCUGAUCCAGCCAUACCGCGUGGGUGAAGAAGGCCUUCGGGUUGUAAAGCCCUUUUGUUGGGAAAGAAAAGCAGCAGGUUAAUACCCCGCUGUUCUGACGGUACCCAAAGAAUAAGCACCGGCUAACUUCGUG
rnacentral:rRNA from 1 species